AACGCGAAGAACCUUACCUAGGCUUUACAUCCCGGGAAUCUUGUGGAAACAGGGGGGUGCCUUUCGGGGAACCAAGACACAGGUGCGCAUGGCUGUCUCACCUCGUGUUGAGAGAUGUUGGGUUAACUCCCACAACGAGCCCCCCCUUUUUUUUUUUUCCCAUCAUUAAGUUGGGCACUUUAAAGAGACUGCCGGUGUUAAACCGGAGGAAGGGGGGGAGGACGUCAAGUCCUCAUGGCCUUUAUGUUCGGGGCUACACACGUGCUACAAUGGGUGGUACAAAGGGAAGCCAACUCGCGAGAGGGAGCCAAUCUCAAAAAGCCAUCCUCACUUAGGAUUGCAGUCUGCAACUCGCCUCCAUGAAGUGGGAAUCGCUAGUAAUCGCGGAUCACCCUGCCGCGGAGAAUACAUU
rnacentral:rRNA from 1 species